rnacentral:lncRNA from 1 species
AGCCAGUGUAGCCGAAUGAAGCAUGUCCUGCCAGUCCUCCCCGGCCCUCCUACACCCCGCCUACCCCCUGCCCCCAGCCUGCACCACCCUCGAUGCUCCAGCUGGUGAUUACAACAGCAUCACGACACCAUGGCCUCACCCCCUAUUCAUCAUCACACUGCCUGUCUCUCUCCCUGCAGAUGGCUGAUUGGGGCCCUACAAGCAGCGAGACAAUUACUCUUACAACAGCCAGUCAGUGGCCUGAAAUCUCCAAAGAACAAGGACAAACAGUGUCCACUGCAGGUGAGCAGCAUGGUCACUAAUCUCUCAAAUCCAUCCAUAAUACAUGGUGUCUCUGAAAGAAGAUUUCCUCUGCUCCACAAGUGUGUUUGAUUAGGCAAUGCAGUUCUGGAACCUGUCAUUGGAAUUCGCAAACCUGAGACAACCUGUCCUCAAAGCAAAGCAAGCUGUUUUAUACACAAAGAAACAAAUCGGCCUUUGCCAGCCUCUGUUUUUCCAACUUUCGAUGGUCAAGUCUCCACACAUUUUCUUAUGUCCUAUCUUUCACCAGAUGUUAUAGAAUCAGGGUCUGGGGUUAAAGACGAGAAGGUAUUAUGAAGUAUUCUUUCUUUACGCGAAGAUGAAGGUCAUGGUAUUUGCAAGUGAAAGAAGGAGGAAGUGAAACGAUCAACGAUCUCAACAUUUUUCUCCAAUUGAUCCGUAGUAUUGCAACGCCACCAGAUCCAGAGGAGACGUAUUUGCACGGCACGUCAGAUUGAACACGAGGGGUUGUUAAAGGCAGCUCAUUGGCCUCGUUGAUCCACACCUUACUGUCUAUUUCUGUUUGUCAGUGAUUUGGAGAAAGGUCACAGUCAUACUGCGUCAUCCUGCUCUUUUCUUCCUUCCUUCACUCCUCCUCUUAUUCCCUCGUUUAUUCCUGUUUAUUCCUCCUCUUAUUCCCUCGUUUAUUCCUGUUUAUUCCUCCUCUUAUUCCCUCGUUUAUUCCUGUUUAUUCCUUCUCUCCAUCCACAGUCACACAGGAUCUAUCAUUCUGCUCAUUUAGUCAAUAAUAAGACAGUUAUUUGCUCUGCUAGCUUCACAAUUAUGUGAGCCCCUUGAAAUCUGCGACUGCUUCUCAA